rnacentral:rRNA from 1 species
UGAGGAAUAUUGGUCAAUGGGCGGGAGCCUGAACCAGCCAAGCCGCGUGAGGGAAGAAGGCCCUAUGGGUCGUAAACCUCUUUUGUCAGGGAACAAAAGCGAGUAUGUAUACUGGUCUGAGUGUACCUGAAGAAAAAGCAUCGGCUAACUCCGUGCCAGCAGCCGCGGUAAUACGGAGGAUGCGAGUGUUAUCCGGAUUUAUUGGGUUUAAAGGGUGCGUAGGCGGCGGUGCAAGUCAGCGGUAAAAGCCCGGGGGCUCAACCCCGGCGAGCCGUUGAAACUGCAGUGCUAGAGAAGGCGAGAGGUACGCGGAAUGCGCAGUGUAGCGGUGAAAUGCUUAGAUAUUGCGCAGAACUCCGAUUGCGAAGGCAGCGUACUGGCGCCUGACUGACGCUGAGGCACGAAAGCGUGGGGAUCGAACAGGAUUAGAUACC